rnacentral:rRNA from 1 species
AGCAGUAGCCGCGGUAACACGGAGGGCGCGAGCGUUACCCGGAUUUACUGGGCGUAAAGGGCGUGUAGGCGGCCUGGGGCGUCCCAUGUGAAAGGCCACGGCUCAACCGUGGAGGAGCGUGGGAUACGCUCAGGCUAGAGGGUGGGAGAGGGUGGUGGAAUUCCCGGAGUAGCGGUGAAAUGCGCAGAUACCGGGAGGAACGCCGAUGGCGAAGGCAGCCACCUGGUCCACUUCUGACGCUGAGGCGCGAAAGCGUGGGGAGCAAACCGGAUUAGAUACCCCAGUAGUCCCUGUCUCUUAUAC